GACGAACGCUGGCGGCGUGCUUAACACAUGCAAGUCGAACGGAAAGGCCCUGCUUUUGUGGGGUGCUCGAGUGGCGAACGGGUGAGUAACACGUGAGUAACCUGCCCUUGACUUUGGGAUAACUUCAGGAAACUGGGGCUAAUACCGGAUAGGAGCUCCUGCUGCAUGGUGGGGGUUGGAAAGUUUCGGCGGUUGGGGAUGGACUCGCGGCUUAUCAGCUUGUUGGUGGGGUAGUGGCUUACCAAGGCUUUGACGGGUAGCCGGCCUGAGAGGGUGACCGGCCACAUUGGGACUGAGAUACGGCCCAGACUCCUACGGGAGGCAGCAGUGGGGAAUAUUGCACAAUGGGCGGAAGCCUGAUGCAGCAACGCCGCGUGCGGGAUGACGGCCUUCGGGUUGUAAACCGCUUUCGCCUGUGACGAAGCGUGAGUGACGGUAAUGGGUAAAGAAGCACCGGCUAACUACGUGCCAGCAGCCGCGGUGAUACGUAGGGUGCGAGCGUUGUCCGGAUUUAUUGGGCGUAAAGGGCUCGUAGGUGGUUGAUCGCGUCGGAAGUGUAAUCUUGGGGCUUAACCCUGAGCGUGCUUUCGAUACGGGUUGACUUGAGGAGGGUAGGGGAGAAUGGAAUUCCUGGUGGAGCGGUGGAAUGCGCAGAUAUCAGGAGGAACACCAGUGGCGAAGGCGGUUCUCUGGGCCUUUCCUGACGCUGAGGAGCGAAAGCGUGGGGAGCGAACAGGCUUAGAUACCCUGGUAGUCCACGCUGUAAACGGUGGGUACUAGGUGUGGGGUCCAUUCCACGGGUUCCGUGCCGUAGCUAACGCUUUAAGUACCCCGCCUGGGGAGUACGGCCGCAAGGCUAAAACUCAAAGGAAUUGACGGGGCCCCGCACAAGCGGCGGAGCAUGCGGAUUAAUUCGGUGCAACGCGUAGAACCUUACCUGGGUUUGACAUGGAUCGGGAGUGCUCAGAGAUGGGUGUGCCUCUUUUGGGGUCGGUUCACAGGUGGUGCAUGGCUGUCGUCAGCUCGUGUCGUGAGAUGUUGGGUUAAGUCCCGCAACGAGCGCAACCCUUGUUCACUGUUGCCAGCACGUUAUGGUGGGGACUCAGUGGAGACCGCCGGGGUCAACUCGGAGGAAGGUGGGGAUGACGUCAAGUCAUCAUGCCCCUUAUGUCCAGGGCUUCACGCAUGCUACAAUGGCUGGUACAGAGAGUGGCGAGCCUGUGAGGGUGAGCGAAUCUCGGAAAGCCGGUCUCAGUUCGGAUUGGGGUCUGCAACUCGACCUCAUGAAGUCGGAGUCGCUAGUAGUCGCAGAUCAGCAACGCUGCGGUGAAUACGUUCCCGGG
rnacentral:rRNA from 1 species